rnacentral:rRNA from 1 species
CCUACGGGCGGCAGCAGUCGAGAAUCAUUCACAAUGGGGGAAACCCUGAUGCUGCGACGCCGCGUGGGGGAAUGAAGCUCUUCGGAUUGUAAACUCCUUUCAUGUGGGAGCAAAUUAAAAAGAUAGUACCACAAGAGGAAGAGACGGCUAACUCUGUGCCAGCAGCCGCGGUAAUACAGAGGUCUCAAGCGGUGUUCGGAAGCACUGGGCGUAAAGCGUGCGUAGGCUGUUUCGUAAGUCGUGUGUGAAAGGCGCGGGCUCAACCCGCGGACGGCACAUGAUACUGCGAGACUAGAGUGAUGGAGGGGGAACCGGAAUUCGCGGUGUAGCAGUGAAAUGCGUAGAUAUCGAGAGGAACACUCGUGGCGAAGGCAGGUUCCUGGACAUUAACUGACGCUGAGGCACGAAGGCCAGGGGAGCGAAAGGGAUUAGAUACCCGUGUAGUC